GACGAACGCUGGCGGCGUGCUUAACACAUGCAAGUCGAACGGAAAGGCCCUGCUUUUGUGGGGUGCUCGAGCGGCGAACGGGUGAGUAACACGUGAGUAACCUGCCCUUGACUUUGGGAUAACUUCAGGAAACUGGGGCUAAUACCGGAUAGGAGCUCCUGCUGCAUGGUGGGGGUUGGAAAGUUUCGGCGGUUGGGGAUGGACUCGCGGCUUAUCAGCUUGUUGGUGGGGUAGUGGCUUACCAAGGCUUUGACGGGUAGCCGGCCUGAGAGGGUGACCGGCCACAUUGGGACUGAGAUACGGCCCAGACUCCUACGGGAGGCAGCAGUGGGGAAUAUUGCACAAUGGGCGGAAGCCUGAUGCAGCAACGCCGCGUGCGGUAUGAAGGCCUUCGGGUUGUAAACCGCUUUCGCCUGUGACGAAGCGUGAGUGACGGUAAUGGGUAAAGAAGCACCGGCUAACUACGUG
rnacentral:rRNA from 1 species